ACAUACGACCAUAGACUGAAGAGAACAGGGAACCCCGUCUGCUCUUCCGCACUUAAGCUUCAGAUCGGCGGUUUAGUAGUUGGGUGGGUGACCACCAGCGAAUACCCGCUGUUGUAUGUG
rnacentral:rRNA from 1 species